rnacentral:rRNA from 1 species
UCCAGACUCCUACGGGAGGCAGCAGUGAGGAAUAUUGGUCAAUGGGAGAGAUCCUGAACCAGCCAAGCCGCGUGAGGGAAGACGGCCCUAUGGGUUGUAAACCUCUUUUGUCGGAGAACAAAACCCGGGACGAGUCCCGGACUGCGUGUAUCCGAAGAAAAAGCAUCGGCUAACUCCGUGCCAGCAGCCGCGGUAAUACGGAGGAUGCGAGCGUUAUCCGGAUUUAUUGGGUUUAAAGGGUGCGUAGGCGGUCUGUUAAGUCAGCGGUAAAAUUGCGGGGCUCAACCCCGUCGAGCCGUUGAAACUGGCAGACUUGAGUUGGCGAGAAGUACGCGGAAUGCGCGGUGUAGCGGUGAAAUGCAUAGAUAUCACGCAGAGCCCCGAUUGCGAAGGCAGCAUACCGGCGCCCUACUGACGCUGAGGCACGAAAGUGCGGGUAUCGAACAGGAUUAGAUACCCCAGUACG